rnacentral:misc_RNA from 1 species
GAUGAAGAACGUAGCGAAAUGCGAUAAGUAAUGUGAAUUGCAGAAUUCAGUGAAUCAUCGAAUCUUUGAACGCACCUUGCGCCCUUUGGCCAUUCCGAAGGGCAUGCCUGUUCGAGCGUCAUUAUAACCCCUCAAGCUCAGCUUGGUGUUGGGGCCUGCUGCACUGGCAGCCCUUAAAAUCAGUGGCGGCGCCAUCUGGCUCUAAGCGUAGUAAUUCUUCUCGCUAUGGAGUCCUGGUGGAUGCUUGCCAUCAACCCCCAAUUUUUCUAUGGUUGACCUCGGAUCAGGUAGGGAUACCCGCUGAACUUAAGCAUAUCAAUAAGCGGAGGA